UAAGUGGCUCAUUGGAGACACGUCACACAUCCACAUUUGCGGAUGGAAGUCCCAACAUUCAAAUGUGUUUUAUCGCAUGCAUCAGAACAAUGAAGAGGAUUUGUGGAUAUACGUUUUGGAGUCACGAAGCUUUCAGAUAGUCGGACGCUGUUCUCAAAGGAGUUAUUGGAAACGUCACCGCCACAGUGACACGAAAAAGAUUGACGCAACAUACACAUCAGAAGCGACUUGAGAUAUGACUGCACUAUGCUGUUGCUGUGACUCCAGUUAAUUCUACAAGACAUGCUGUGACAACAGGAGAGAUGGGUCCUCCGUCACAGAUGGUGUGGUCAGUGAAGAUGGUCUCCUGCAGGUUCAAGCUCAUUGCAUCUCCAACCCACAUCCACUGCCACUCUACUUAAGGGAAGUUAAAGACUAGAGCAGGGCGAUAUGGCCAAAAAUAAUUAUCACCAUAUGUAUUUGAAAA